rnacentral:rRNA from 1 species
GAUAAACGCUGGCGGCGCACAUAAGACAUGCAAGUCGAACGGACUUAACUCAUUCUUUUAGAUUGAGAGCGGUUAGUGGCGGACUGGUGAGUAACACGUAAGCAACCUGCCUAUCAGAGGGGAACAACAGUUAGAAAUGACUGCUAAUACCGCAUAUACCUAAGUAUCGCAUGGUACAAUAGGGAAAGGAGCAAUCCGCUGAUAGAUGGGCUUGCGUCUGAUUAGCUAGUUGGCGGGGUAACGGCCCACCAAGGCGACGAUCAGUAGCCGGACUGAGAGGUUGGCCGGCCACAUUGGGACUGAGACACGGCCCAG